UACGGGAGAAAGCAGGGGAUCUUCGGACCUUGCGCUAAUAGAUGAGCCUAAGUCGGAUUAGCUAGUUGGUGGGGUAAAGGCCGAGCGGGGCGACGAUCUGUAGCGGGUCUGAGAGGAUGAUCCGCCACACUGGGACUGAGACACGGCCCAGACUCCUACGGGAGGCAGCAGUGGGGAAUAUUGGACAAUGGGCGCAAGCCUGAUCCAGCCAUGCCGCGUGUGUGAAGAAGGCCUUAUGGUUGUAAAGCACUUUAAGCGAGGAGGAGGCUUCUGAAGUUAAUACCUUCAGAUAGUGGACGUUACUCGCAGAAUAAGCACCGGCUAACUCUGUGCCAGCAGCCGCGGUAAUACAGAGGGUGCAAGCGUUAAUCGGAUUUACUGGGCGUAAAGCGCGCGUAGGCGGCUAAUUAAGUCAAAUGUGAAAUCCCCGAGCUUAACUUGGGAAUUGCAUUCGAUACUGGUUAGCUAGAGUGUGGGAGAGGAUGGUAGAAUUCCAGGUGUAGCGGUGAAAUGCGUAGAGAUCUGGAGGAAUACCGAUGGC
rnacentral:rRNA from 1 species